rnacentral:rRNA from 1 species
UGGGGAAUAUUGGACAAUGGGCGCAAGCCUGAUCCAGCAAUGCCGCGUGUGUGAAGAAGGCCUUCGGGUUGUAAAGCACUUUUAUCAGGAGCGAAACGCUGUCGGCUAAUACCCGGCGGAACUGACGGUACCUGAGGAAUAAGCACCGGCUAACUUCGUGCCAGCAGCCGCGGUAAUACGAAGGGUGCAAGCGUUAAUCGGAAUUACUGGGCGUAAAGCGUGCGUAGGCGGUUUCUUAAGUCUGCUGUGAAAUCCCCGGGCUCAACCUGGGAAUGGCAGUGGAUACUGGGAGGCUAGAGUGUGUCAGAGGGUGGUGGAAUUCCCGGUGUAGCGGUGAAAUGCGUAGAGAUCGGGAGGAACAUCAGUGGCGAAGGCGGCCACCUGGGACAACACUGACGCUGAGGCACGAAAGCGUGGGGAGCAAACAGGAUUAGAUACCCUGGUAGUCCACGCCCUAAAGCGAUGCGAACUGGAUGUUGGUCUCAACUCGGAGAUCAGUGUCGAAGCUAACGCGUUAAGUUCGCCGCCUGGGGAGUACG